GUCCUGGACGACCCGGGUGCCCCCCGGACAGGGGCUUUGCAGACCCGACAGGCCACGGAAGGACGAGGAGAUGAGGACCGGACCCUUCGGAGAGAAGGGAGCUUCUCCAAACCUCUGGCUCAGAUUCAAGGUCUUUCCCAAUGCUGGAUUCAAAUUGUACUGUCACUCUUUUACUUCCUAGGUUCACUUUAUUUAAUCUGCCCUCUCGGUCGUUUAUGUUCGAGUACUGUGUGAGCAUGUCCCUCACGCAUUCACUACUUAUUCCCAUUGGAUCAAUUUGUGUUAUUUAUAAACACUUUGCCUAAGUAAACUUUGUCAGAUUCUUCCACAGUUUAUAACUUCCUCUCAAAUUUAAGCUCUUCUGAUUUGGUCCGUCCUAACUAUUUUAACCUUCCCUCACAAUUUAGAUUUUGCACAGCCACUGGCCUUUUACUGUCCUAAAGUGGUUUUUUAAUUUUUCUCCUUAACAGUAUUGGAGAACUGACCAUCAGUGUCGUUACAUACAA